rnacentral:misc_RNA from 1 species
UUGAUACUGUUGAGUUUGAUUUUUUUCCAUCUGCAAUAAAACUGCCCACAAUGACCUGUACUGGUGAUGCCGCUAUAAGCAUUCCAGCAACUCCUCCACCCAAAACCCUACCAUCUGAACCUGCUAAUGAUAUACUCAAACCACCAGCUCGGCUGCGACUACCAUUAUCUUCAGAAGGCAAGAAAGAACCUGAUAGAGAAAUAAUCUCAAACCGGCCCUCAUAUGUCACAGUACCACCAGACAAUGCUGGCUGACGAAGGGGAACAUUACAAACGGCACCAUUCGCAGAAAGAAUACAAAUGGUCCGUGGCCCUUGCUGAGAGAAAGCCAUGAUCUUUGAUGAUAUGUCCUCCCCUGCAUUCACCGUUAUCACAUGAGGUGUAAACCCAACACCUCCAAUCCCUCCUAAAGCAUCAAGCUGCUUCUUGCCAGAACCUGGCGGCCUUCCUCUAUUACGCUUAGAAGGAGGCUCAGAGGCCACGCC